CUGCCUUUCAGGAUAAGUGGCGCCGCCUGGUGUCAGAAGGCACGACUAACCUCGAGAUGUUUGACCACGUCAUCCUGAUGACACUGGACAGUCUACUGAAAUGUGCCUUCAGCUACAACAGCAACUGUCAGCGGUCUACCAGCGAGUACGUGUUGGCCAUAGUGGAGCUGAGCGACCUGAUCAUAGAUCGCCGGCAGAAGAUUUUACACCACUGGGACUGGAUUUACUGGAGAACAGAGCAGGGGAAAC